rnacentral:lncRNA from 1 species
ACCAUUCUACCACCAUUCAUCAUAUUUUCUGCCCAGAAACUACCCUAGCCGACCCCUACAUUCAUCCUAACCUUAUUUCCAUCCUUCUACAUCAUCCAUAACUCCCUAAAAUCACCCCCAACCCUUGUGCCGCAGCAAAGGAGAGGAAGAAGAAGUGCUUGAAGGUUCUAGUCGUUCAACAUUGAAUCGUUGGAGUAUUUAGGUGUUCUCUUUCUUAUAUCUACAAUGUAUAAAUCUGUUUUCCUUUGUUUUGUGAACAUGAGGAACUAAGCCUUUUUGGCUAGGGGGUUAUUCAAUACCAUUGAUAGGAGCAUAUUUAUGCGACUUAGUUGGCUUGUUCUUGUGCAUUUAUGUCGUGUUUCCUUAGUUAUUUUAAUGUUUAAAGUCAUUUUCGUGUGUUUUCAGAUUUUAUGGACAAAGUAGGCAAGAAGAUGCCUUUUGGAGCAUUUUGGAGAAAUAUGGAGCUUGGAAUGCAUGUCACAUAUUUGGGCCAAAGUGGAUGGACGAAUUUGAGAACUAAAGAGGCCAAGAAUGUGAAGAAUUAUGGUCUAAAAGAUGAAGAACUCAUCCCAAAAAUUUGUCACCCCAACUUGCCUUCAUUGCCAUGCAAAACAACAUAGAAUUCCCUUUGGAUUCCCAUGCCAUGCUUGAUCACUCUUGUCCCCUACAUAAUUUCUGAUUUCAUGCUUCAAUUCAUUUAAUUAUUACACUU